rnacentral:lncRNA from 1 species
GAUAGUGGACAAAAUAUGACCCAUCUGUGUUGGGCUUUUCUGUUUUGGGCCAAUUUACAGCAAAUGUUUGGGUCAAGCUUAAAUUAGCUUUUCAGAUGACAUAAAAAAAAGAGAAAAAAAAAUUCAGAAAAGUUUAGUGGUUUACGAUUAUGUAUAUUUCUAUAUUUCCAUCUCAAAUCCAAGUAUGUGUGUAUCAUCCCAAUAAAAAAAGGGGAAGAAACUUGAAAAUUUUAAAAGAAAAUAAGAGAUCAACGGUUCAGAUCUCAUUUCAUAAUGGA